CGGGGUGUGGCGCAGUUGGCUAGCGCGCUACGUUCGGGACGUAGAGGUCGCGAGUUCGAGUCUCGCCACCCCGA
rnacentral:tRNA from 1 species